CCUACGGGAGGCAGCAGUGGGGGAUAUUGCACAAUGGGGGAAACCCUGAUGCAGCGACGCCGCGUGUAGGAAGACGGUCCUCUGGAUUGUACACUACUGUCCCCAGGGACGAAGAUGACGGUACCUGGGGAGGAAGCUCCGGCUAACUACGUGCCAGCAGCCGCGGGAAUACGUAGGGAGCGAGCGUUGUCCGGAAUUACUGGGUGUAACGGGAGCGUAGGCGGGGAUGCAAGUUGGGUGUUAAAUCUACCGGCUCAACUGGUAGUCGCACUCAAAACUGCAGCUCUUGAGUGAAGUAGAGGCAGGCGGAAUUCCUAGUGUAGCGGUGAAAUGCGUAGAUAUUAGGAGGAACACCAGUGGCGAAGGCGGCCUGCUGGGCUUUUACUGACGCUGAGGCUCGAAAGUGUGGGGAGCAAACAGGAUUAGAUACCCCAGUAGUC
rnacentral:rRNA from 1 species